AGGUGUAGUGGCGUGUGCCUGUAAUCCCAGCUACUCAGGAGGCUGAGGCAGGAGAAUCACUUAAACCUGAGAGGCAGAGGCUGCAGUGAGCCGAGAUUGCACCACUGCACUCCAGGCUGGGCAACAGAGUGAGACUCUGUCUCUCAUAAAGAAAAAAAAUGGCAUAUGAAACAUGAAUUUUAAGUAAAAAAUUACACAGGAUGUGUUACUGUACUGGAAACUAACUUUGGAAAAUAGGAGUAGAUUUCCUGCACCUUAUAUCAACUCCUUCUGUGAUAGAAAUGAAACCCACUCUAAUGAUCCCAAGCAUAUCUGUGAAGUCUUACAAGGGGUCAGACUGGCAGCACCAUCCACAGGGACAUUACCUCUAAGGAUCAUAUAUCAAGAGCCAGAUCCCAAUCAGGAAAUUUCUUCCACCAUUGUCAGUACAAAGGGCACUCAGCAAGCAUCUUUUCCAAAUGGACAUCUACCCAGAAGUAUCCACAUAACCCAAUCAUCAAUACUCAGAAACAAGAAGAUAUUAGAACUGUUCUUUCUUGCAGGGGUAAAAAUAAGGAGGAUUAGGAAGAUGAAGCCAUGGCAAUGAACGAUAAGUAGCACAAACCUUACCUAAUCUCUGUCUCAUUUAACUGGGUAAACAGCAGCUCUGACACAAUUAUAUGCCCCCAGAUGCUGCUGUGACAUUACUAGGUUACAGUGAACACAGUAUCAGCUGAUGCCAUUGGAAUAAACAUGCAGAUUUCCAAAACCAAAGUGUUUGCAUGUAAUAUAUAUUUCAUGUUCUUGUCACCUCAAGCCUGUCUUGAAGCUGAUUUCAUGCAGCAUCCUCUAGACUUGAAGGAACAUCACUCCACAUUUCAAAGAGUAACAGCAUGUAUUUUUACAAUUUACUCCUUAGCAGGGGGGAAUUAGAGCAUUAACUGUAGGAAAUUUUUCUCUUGUACAAUAAACCGAAAGCUUUGUAACCAUAAAAUGACAAUUUUCAUUAAAAAGCACGCUUACUUUUGGUAUUGCCAGUUACGUAAAGGAUAAAUGUCUUCGGGCAAAAGGACACGUGGCCAUAACCUUUUCCUGACAAGUCUGUCUCCGGUUUUCUCCAAGCAAUGUCAGAUUUUAUAUUUUUCCAAAAGAAACAAACGGGAAUGCCUCAUGAAUUGUUCCUGUGGAUUUUUAGUUCAAUACUACAUGACACUUGUAUAUUAGGCUCCUAAAUACUGUGCAACACGGCAACAGUGAUGAGAAUCACUACUCUUAGACCACACUUGAAUUAGUGUCUCUUCCAUCCACCCACGUUUUUUGGCUCUUCUUCCUCUGAUCUCCCCUGCCUUGAGGCUCAGCACUCCCCCUAACACCCUAGUGGUUCUCAACCUGGGCAAUUAUGCCCCCAGGAGACAUUUUUGGUUGUUGCAACUAGGGGAUGCCACUGGCAUGUAGUGGGUAGAGGCUAGGGAUUCUGCUAAACAUCCUACAAGGCACAGGACAGCCCCCCAAAACAAAAAUGAUCUAGCUCCACAUGCCAAUAGUACUGUGGCUGAGAAAACCUGCAAUAUGCUAACCAAACCACUUUUAAUUAAAAGGAGAAAAAAGCCUUUUCAAGAUCUUACAACGGCUCUUAUUAGAUUAUAAAUUGUAACCUCCUCAGCCUUACUUUCAACACCUUUCCCAAUCCAUUUCUAACCUACCUGUCACCUGAACUGAGCAAACCUAUGCUGAGCUCCCCCAUGUGCAGGAGGUGCAAAGCUACUGAAAGACGAAGAGGGGUUGGUGCUUUCCAGAAGCCCAUUCACGGGUGCAGGAGACGGAGAAACUGGAGCAUGUGGCUAGCACCCAGCAGGUAUCAGGAAUGGUCUUUCCUUUCUUCCUAAUUAGCUCUAAUUCCAGGCUGACUGUGAUGGGUGGAUAAAGAGUGGUGGAUCUUAGUGUUUUCCCCACAUCGUAAUCUGUGCUCUUGUUUGUCUUUUAAUCUAUUAGGAAAAUUUGAAAGACUAGGUUUUUUUCUAUUUGACAUAGAUCUACCUUUCUUUCUUUCCUUCCUUCCUUCUUUCCUUCCUUCCUUCCUUCCCUCUUUUUUUUUUUUUUUUUUUUUUUGAGACGGAGUUUCGCUGUUGUCGCCCAGGCUGGAGUGCAAUGGUACGAUCUCGGCUCACCGCAACCUCCGCCUCCCAGGUCCAAGGGAUUCUCCUGCCUCAGCCUCCUGAGUAGCUGGGAUUACAGGCAUGCACCACUACAUCCAGCUAAUUUUGUAUUUUUAGUAGAGAUGGGGUUUCUCCAUGUUGGUCAGGCUGGUCUCGAACUCCCGACCUCAGGUGAUCUGCCCACCUCGGCCUCCCAAAGUGCUGGGAUUACAGGCACGAGCCACCAUGCCUGGGCUUCUUUCCUCUUUCUUUUUAAGAAACAUGGUCUUUCGCCUGUAAUCCUAGCACUCUGGGAGGCUGAGGCGGGAGGAUCACCUGAGGUCGAGAGUUCAAGACCAACCUGAUCAACAUGGAGAAACCCCGUCUCUACUGAAAAUA
rnacentral:lncRNA from 1 species